GAUGAACGCUAGCGACAGGCUUAACACAUGCAAGUCGAGGGGCAGCACAGGUAGCAAUACCGGGUGGCGACCGGCGCACGGGUGAGUAACGCGUAUGCAACUUGCCUAUCAGAGGGGGAUAACCCGGCGAAAGUCGGACUAAUACCGCAUGAAGCAGGGAUCCCGCAUGGGAAUAUUUGCUAAAGAUUCAUCGCUGAUAGAUAGGCAUGCGUUCCAUUAGGCAGUUGGCGGGGUAACGCCCACCAAACCGACGAUGGAUAGGGGUUCUGAGAGGAA
rnacentral:rRNA from 1 species